UACAGAGGGGGCGAGCGUUAUUCGGAAUUACUGGGCGUAAAGCGCACGUAGGCGGAUCAGUUAGUCGGGGGUGAAAUCCCGGGGCUCAACCCCGGAACUGCCUUCGAUACUGCUGGUCUGGAGGUCGAGAGAGGCGAGUGGAAUUCCGAGUGUAGAGGUGAAAUUCGUAGAUAUUCGGAGGAACACCAGUGGCGAAGGCGGCUCGCUGGCUCGAUACUGACGCUGAGGUGCGAAAGCGUGGGGAGCAAACAGG
rnacentral:rRNA from 1 species